GAUGAACGCUGGCGGCGUGCCUAACACAUGCAAGUCGAACGAAGCACUGUCGAAUGAGGAUUCGUCUGAACUUGGCUUUGACUUAGUGGCGGACGGGUGAGUAAUGCGUGAGCAACCUGCCUUUCAGAGGGGGACAACAGUUGGAAACGACUGCUAAUACCGCAUGACAUAUCGAGAUCGCAUUGGUUUGAUAUUAAAGAUUUAUCGCUGAAAGAUGGGCUCACGUCUGAUUAGUUAGUUGGUG
rnacentral:rRNA from 1 species